rnacentral:rRNA from 1 species
UAAGACAUGCAAGUCGAACGGUUAAAGCCCCUUCGGGGGUGUAUAAAGUGGCGGACGGGCGAGGAAUACGUUCCUACGUACCCCGAGGUCGGGGAUAGCCCGGGGAAACCCGGAGUAAGACCCGAUGUGGUCCGCCGCAAGGCGGAUCAAAGGCUUGCCGCCUUGGGAGCGGGGAACGUCCUAUCAGGUUGUUGGUGAGGUAACGGCUCACCAAGCCAGAGACGGGUAGCGGGUGUGAGAGCAUGACCCGCCGCAUCGGGACUGAGACACUGCCCGGACUCCUACGGGAGGCUGCAGUAACGAAUCUUCCGCAAUGCGCGAAAGCGUGACGGAGCAAUGCCGCGUGCAGGAUGAAGCCUUUCGGGGUGUAAACUGCUGUCAGGGUUUAGCAACUCAAUGAGCAGACCCAAAGGAAGGGCCGGCUAACUUCGUGCCAGCAGCCGCGGUAAUACGAAGGGCUCGAGCGUUAAUCGGAAUCACUGGGCUUAAAGCGUACGUAGGCGGGCGCGCAGGCAUCUUGUGAAAGCCCUCGGCUCAACCGAGGAAAUGCUUGGUGAACCGCGCGUCUUGAGGCAAGUAGGGGCUGUCGGAACGCUAGGUGGAGUGGUGAAAUGCGUUGAUAUCUAGCGGAACGCCGAAGGAGAAAUCAGGCAGCUGGGCUUGUUCUGACGCUGAGGUACGAAAGCGUGGGGAGCGAACGGGAUUAGAUACCCCGGUAGUCCACGCUGUAAACGAUGUGCACUAGAUUGAGGGGGUUCUGACACCGCUCUCGGUCGAAGCAAAAGUGUUAAGUGCACCGCCUGGGGAGUACGGUCGCAAGGCUAAAACUCAAAGGAAUUGACGGGGGCUCACACAAGCGGUGGAGCAUGUGGCUUAAUUCGAGGCAACGCGAAGAACCUUAUCCUGGGUUUGACAUGCACGGAUCAACCCGCCGAAAAGCGGGCCACGCCUUCGGGUGGAACGUGCUCAGGUGUUGCAUGGCUGUCGUCAGCUCGUGCUGUGAAGUGUCGGGUUAAGUCCCUUAACGAGCGAAACCCCUGUCGCUAGUUGCCAUCAGGUAAUGCUGGGGACUCUAGCGAGACCGCCGGGUCAAGUCGGAGGAAGGUGGGGAUGACGUCAAGUCCGCAUGACCUUUAUGCCCAGGGCUGCACACGUGCUACAAUGGCGGGUACAGAACGAGGCAAUGCCGCGAGGUGGAGCA